rfam:Daphnia pulex DAPPTscaffold_60_Cont3206, whole genome shotgun sequence.
GGGUAAAUGAUGAACUAACUUUUGGCAGAUCAUGAUGUUGACUACCAAAUUACGAGCUUUUUAAUACUGAAUUUU